AUGUUUUUAUUGCUCAUAGUUUGAUGGUGAUUAUUGUGACUUAUUGUUUAUUAUGAUUUUUUUUAGUAUUUAUAUAUGUAGUAUAAGUUAUUUUGUAUGCAUUUAAAAUAGCAAUCAUUCUGCCUCCUGCUAUCAUUUUUUAGUGUUUCCAGAGUUAGCUGAUUCGUGCCACUUUCUAAGAUUGAGUAUGUUUUCAAUAAUACAUGUCAGAAAAUACAAUUACGUCCAUUUGUUUUUGAUGAUUUUUUCAAUUUCGGUACAUUUUGAUGCUUCCUUUUUGAGCAGUUGGUGUAUUUUGUUGCAUUUCAAUACUAUCAUGAGUUGUUUUCACCAAUGUUGGCGCACCN
rnacentral:lncRNA from 1 species